GUAGGGCGCAAGCGUUGUCCGGAAUUAUUGGGCGUAAAGAGCUCGUAGGCGGUUUGUCGCGUCGGAUGUGAAAGCCCGGGGCUUAACCCCGGGUCUGCAUUCGAUACGGGCAGACUGGAGUGUGGUAGGGGAGAUCGGAAUUCCUGGUGUAGCGGUGAAAUGCGCAGAUAUCAGGAGGAACACCGGUGGCGAAGGCGGAUCUCUGGGCCAUUACUGACGCUGAGGAGCGAAAGCGUGGGGAGCGAACAGG
rnacentral:rRNA from 1 species